rnacentral:misc_RNA from 1 species
CCAAACUUGGUCAUUUAGAGGAAGUAAAAGUCGUAACAAGGUCUCCGUUGGUGAACCAGCGGAGGGAUCAUUAUAGAGAGUCUAAAACUCCCUAAAACCCACUGUGAAUCUACCUAUUGUUGCUUCGGCGGACGUCCCGGUCGCCCUUGUGGUGCCGGAAUCAGGCGUCCGCCGGAGGAUUCAAACUCUUGUGUUCAUUUUGUAACUGUCUGAGUGGCGCAAGCAAAUCAAAUCAAAACUUUCAACAACGGAUCUCUUGGUUCUGGCAUCGAUGAAGAACGCAGC